rnacentral:lncRNA from 1 species
CACGUGGUUUUAUCUCAUCAUCAAAUAAGUUGUCGGCUUAAUCAAUUACCAAGUUGAAUUUAACAUGUCGACUUCUUAUUACCAUGUCAAUAUAUUUAUAUCAGCAAGUCGACAUUGUAAUGCAACUUUUUCUUCAUCAUUCCGACAAGUUGAUUCCUCAUGAUAAUUUCAUUCCAGGUUAUUACACACAACUUAACUAAUAAUUCCGACUUAUUUGCAACAAAAUAACUUUCCAAGG